rnacentral:tRNA from 1 species
GAUUAUUUAGCUAUAUUUAAGUAUUUAUUUUGAAAGUAAAAGAAAAGAAAAUUAAUAAUCU